rfam:TPA: Bos taurus chromosome 14, whole genome shotgun sequence.
UCCCUAGUGGCUCAGACGAUAAGGCGUCUGUCUGCAACGCAGGAGACCCGGGUUCGAUCCCUGGGUUGGGAA